rnacentral:tRNA from 1 species
UCCCGGUUAGCUCGGUUGGUAGAGCGCUCCAACGGAAAUAGGGAGGUUCCUGGUUCGAUACCAGGAUCAGGCG